GUUCCUACUCCACCAGCCCCAGGUACCAGGCCUGCUCCUCCAGGACCUCGUCCAGCUGACCCAACUCCUCCUGCAAGUCCACCAGCUCCACCAGCUGCACCUCCUGAUCCAAGUCCAGUUCCAGUAGCAGGACCGUCUCCUCUUCCUACUGCUGUUGCACCACCAGAAACACCUCCUGCUGGUCCUGCUCUGGUAGGUCCCCCUCCUACUCCUCCUGGCCCUCCACCUGUGCCUCCUGUACCACCUCUCUCUCCAUCGGGGCCAUCUUCUCCAUCUCCUUCACCUGGUGUGUCACCUCGAGGGACACCUGCAGACGGAGCCCAGAUGAUCACCAGACCAGUUUUGAGUAUAGAACUAAGACUGGAACCAAGGACUGAGUCUAGGACAAGGGAAUCUAUUCUACUAGGAGCCUGGUGUUGGCCAUGGAGUCUGUGUGCCAUCCUCUGUUAACUUCAGAUCAUUACAUCAUUUGACCUGAAUAUUCAUGUCCCUAGUGCUCCUCCAGUCCCUGGACCAUAACCACCUGCUGCUGGGCCACCAAAUCUUCCAUCUAGACCAGAUCCAGGGGCUCCGCCACCACCAGCACCGCCUGGUCCAAAGCCACCUGGUCCACCUCCUGUUCCAAUACCAGAACCAGGUGUCCCAGCCACCCCUACUCCUGCUCCAGGUCCACCACCAGUUGUUACUCCAACACCUCGUCCAGG
ensembl:lncRNA